GUGUUGCUUGGACUUCACCUAGGCACACAUUGAAAUAAUACAGAGAAAAUUACCGUGGUUCCUGUGAAAGAAUAACAUUCUAUUUCACAAAGCAUUCCAAUUUCAA
rnacentral:snRNA from 1 species